ensembl:snoRNA Gm24987 small nucleolar RNA SNORA17
CCUGCCCCAGAAGUGUUGCAGGUGUGGCUGCCGUGUUACAUGUGUGUCAAUAGGUUGCAGAGAGAAGAGAAGCUAUGUCUAAGCUCAUUUUUCUAAACUAUAAACAUCUAAAUGAUUGGCAAUCUGACAUU